UACUUACUUAUCUCGUGGGGAACAUAUCUCGGAUAUAUGGGUAACCCCCGAAAUCUUGUUUGAGAGAUUGCCUGAUUCUGAGAUACUAGGUCUUUAUACUGUUUGAUAUCUGGGGUAUCAUACCUGGUCUUCUGAUAUUGCGGAAGCAAUGGCCUAGACCUCGUAUAAUACUUUACGCACUUUUUAAAGCUUACCAUCUGCAUAAAAAUUGAAAAAUAUCGAAAGACAUGAAUCAAUUGCAGUUGAAUAAAAGAUUCUCUAAAGGGAACAUACCUAAAGUCGAGCCUUCAUCUCUUUGACUGAACGGAAGUUCAUACCUGAGCUCUCAAGGUCUCGCACUAACCUGUAAGACUGAAUCUAGGGAAUUUUGAUACGGGAGUAUAUUCUGAGGUGGGACACGCAAAUAAGUUUAAGUUCUUAAAACACUAAUCUCGUAUCUCGAAUCAAUUGAACUUUGUGUAAAAAUUUAAGUGGAUAAGUAUACUGACAAUCUAAGUGAGUCGCUUAGAACUUAAAGUGUUUAAAGCUCAACAGUGCUAGUGAUUUGUCAUAAGCUGAUAUGAUCCUCUGAGACGAACUCAAACAAAAAUAUUGUCUGUAAAUAUGUUUGUAAAUAUUAGUUUACUGCUUUAUAUUCAGAAAAAUACAAACUGUUUUUGAUUUCACUUUUAUGUUUAUCGCCUCCGUCAAUCCAAAUCGUAGCAUAACGGAGAAUUUAACGAAGUCUGAACAUUGUUAAGACUCAUCCAAUCAGAUGACCAUCCGAUCGGAUGUCAAUCCGGCCGGAUGAGCCUUAGUGUUUGCCUAUAUAUAUCGUAGAUCCUUGCAUGUUCUAUUGUGUUAGAGAGAGAAGCUAGAGAGAGAAAGUGAUGUACGUGUGUAACACUCAUCUUAUAAUACUAUUGU
rnacentral:lncRNA from 1 species